UUUCUUCGAACAAGUCAUGGGUGUCGUGGUAGAAAUGUAUGAAGACCACAAACACAUUUUUUUGUAGUCAAGCAUGAUGUUGACUUUAAGUGACGUAACAUGCGACAUGGUGUGCCACAUCAACUUCCGUUAAAGGAAAUAGACAUAGACGGAAAAGAAAAAAAUAAUGGAAAGAAAAAUAUAGAAAAAUUAAAACUACAUUUAACCUAAAAAAAUAAAGACAACAAAAUGGACCAAGAUAAACAAAGAAGACCAAAAGAGCCUAAGGAAAACAAACAAAGGAGAC
rnacentral:lncRNA from 1 species